GCCCCGUUUUAUAACCUAGCCCCGCCCCUUUAUGCUAAUCGGGUGCCAGAGCGAACAGCUAUCCCAUUGGUCCCCAGCCGUACACUAGGACCAAUGGGCACACUCAAUCAACAGCCAAUGACAGGGACCAGGGCGCACCAUGCGUGCAGGAUAGCUCGCACAGCCACAGGGACAGAGCGAUCCCGCAAUUACAGGGUGGAAGAGCUUUUUUCUAAUCGCUCCCAGACUGGAAUUCGCUCCCUGAGAGCAUUUGCUUGGCUGACUCGCUUGUGAUUUUUAAAAAUUUGCUACCAAAAAGUGGCUAUUGACCAAGACUGCUCGACCAAAAGAAAACAGCAACAGAUCUGCUUGCCAGAUUUCUAGUUUGUUUUGGAUUUUUUUCGACCGUUCUUUUAGGGUUUCUAUUGCUUUCUUAAGACAAACAGUCUGAGUUUUGACACAUCGGAACAUGUAAUCAUGUGAGAUAAUUCUUGGCUUGUAUAUCUUUUUUUGCAGUCACACUGUAUGGUCCCUAAGAAAUUGACAUUCAAAUAAAAAAAAUGUUUUGCAGUUAAAUGAAACCAAGAUGCCAUGGGUUACCUGCAGUUGGUGGUCUCUGUGAAGCUUGAUGUGAAGAUUUGUCAAUUGGAGCAAAACUACAUGGGAGGUCACAUAACACGCCUACCGUGGUACUGUGAUACUAGGGCUCUUUCCCUAAGGCAUUGUUUCU